GAGGAUGUAGCUCAGUGGUAGAGUGCUUGCCUAACAUGCACCAGGUGCCAGUCCCUAGCACUGAAAAAAAAAAAAAAGUAUGUUAUUUGCUAUACAAUAUUGUAACUAUAAGAAAAUUCAUUGUGGGCUGGGGUUGUGGCUCAGCGAUAGCACGCUUGCCUGGCAUGUGUGAGGCACUGAGUUCGAUUCUCAGCACCACA
rnacentral:tRNA from 1 species